GGUGAAGUUGUGGGACCCCAAACACUUCUCACCAGACUGUAUCUUCACCUCUAUCUGACCUUAGUGGGCUCACACUUUAUGUACCUUAUACAAUCUCAAGACGAUGGAGUAGUGCCCCCUCACAACAUGAACGACCUGCUUGACUGGGAAAAAAAAAAGUUGAGGUGAAUUUGGGGAACCACAUCCACUCCUCACCAGAUUGUACCAUCAUCCCUAUUGACCUUAUUGCUGUUCACAUUCUAUAUCCAAAUGUGAAAUACUAAGACAAUAGAGGAUUACUUCCUCAUGAUGUGAAGCACCUGCUAGGCUGGGAACUGAAUUUGAGGAAUCAUGUAGCCCUCUGACAGAAGUGGGAGAACUAUUAUUUCCUUGUUGUCAGCUGUAACAGGAAUUUACGUUCAAAAAUCAAAGAUGCCUAGUCAUUAAAAUGUGACAGUGUAUAGGAGGAAACACUCACAAAAUGGAUACAGAUGAAAGUUCUCUGAGAACUGGGAAACAUUUAGCAAGGAAAUCUUUGAGUCAGACCCAGGAAACUCUAGGACAAGGAGGAACAUGGAAGUCAACAAAAGAAGAGGAAAGUGUCGUAGCUACCACCCAGCAUCAAUCUAUUCCACUGCAAUUUGGCUCCAGGUGAAGUUAUGGGACCCCAUUCAUCACUCUGACUUUAUUGCUGCUUAAAAACCAAAUUCAAGGUAAAUUUGACUUGUCAUGGAGACAGGACUUUUAGUGUCUUUUUCUGGGUUGGCCUCAGGACAAUUAAACACUAGCAGAUAUUCGUUUCUUUUUGUCGUGGUCUCUCCUUUUUUCUAGAAGAGUGGUUUUUUGUUGUUGUUGUUGUUGUUGUUGUUUUGGCAGAAGGAAGUGAUUUGGACAUUGAGAAUCUUGGCCUGCCUCCUAAUUCAAUGUGGAUUCAUGAUCCACAGAAAUCUAAAGAACAAGGGGCCCCACAGCCCAAGC
rnacentral:lncRNA from 1 species